rnacentral:pre_miRNA from 1 species
AGUGGGAUAACUGGGUCAAAUGGUUGUUUCAUUUCAAGUUUUCUGAGGAAUCAUCAUGCUGCUUUCCAUAAUGGUCGCAUCAAUUUGCAGUCCCACCAGCAAU